GCUUAUAGAGCUAGCUGCGCACCACUUGUUGAUCUCUUUCUUGUCUUUGCUGCUCUUCACUUCUCUGAGAGAGGUACAGCUAAGAACUCCCAGCGUUCCUCCAGAUCCCUCUUGCUGACUUGUGCCGAGGCUGAGGCCUGGCUGGCUCUGCUAGCUAGUGCCACCCGCUGCUGAUUCCUGUUUGCUGUACCGACUCUACCGUACUGGACUGCUGGUGUAUCUGUGAAGUGUUUGCGAGUGGAUCACGCUGCUGCUGCUGCUGCUAACCUGGGAACUGAACUACUGAUUUUCCGACAACACAGAUGGAAGUUGCUCCAAAGAGCCAUUUCUAAACAGGUGUGAAAUAUCAGACUCUCAUGAGGAGACUUUGGGAUCUGGAACCUAGGAAGUUUUGAGCCGGUAUCACACGUGCGGACACCCCAGCCUCGGCCAUCAUUAGUGCGGAAGAUGCAGAGAUCGUAGCGGAUGCCUUUCUGGACUACACGGUUUGGGCAGUCAUAGCCACAGCAACAGCGGGAGUUGCACUCGUAGAUGGGCUGCCCAGCUUUCAGUCGCACCUGGCCUUGGUCAUUGUAGGCAAACUUGUGCAGGGAUGCUCCAGGGCAACAGCCUCCAGUGGGUGCCAACAGACAGUCCUGGCACUCACAGCCAACAGCUACCUGGUUGAGGGUGAUGCCCUCACCAACUCGAUACUCAUUGAUAUAGACAAAGGACCUUGGAGGGCCAUCCAGGUCUACCUCAUUCUCCACGGUGAUCCGCCCCAGGUGGCUGCGCUUGGCAUUGAGCUCUUGUUCCCAACGCUGAAGUGCCCGCCUCUGCUUGGCCUUCUGCACCAGGUAUUCAACUUCAAAGUCAUACAGAUUCUUCUUAGAAACACCAAGGGCAGGACAAGAAAGCUUGGCUAGUCGGCACAGGUCCUGCAGUUGAUUCCAAGAAGAUUUACAGCACACACUGCAACCUAGAAUGAGAAGGCCAAAGACUCACAAAAAUGUAAUCGACGGGCCUUACCCAAAGCUAAGAUCCUCUGCAACAGGAAGUGCCAAUUCCUUGAACCCUAAUGCUCAAUUCUCAGGGCAACACCUGGAAAUAAGCCUACACACCAGGAAGCAUCAACCUGUCUUUCCCUGCACAUGGAAGGGUCCAGUUCUCCUAUCAGAGGACCUAUGCCCUCAUCUGGGAGAAUCUUCUACUCCAAACUCUGGCCCCCUAACUCUGGAAUGGCAAGGAUGAAGUGGCGCUUGUAGCAAUGGGCCCGUCCAUAAAGGGAUCCACUGGCAGAACAUCCAAGGCCUUAAGCUGCCUGCAGACUUACCUUCGGUCAGAGCCUUAAGCAAUGCUCUUUGCACUUUGCAAAAGACUGGGGUGCGUUAACUAAGAGAGUCAGGGUAGGACAAAAAUCCCUAGGGCAACAAACAGAGGUGUUGCUAUAAAGUCUUCACUUAUCUGAAA
ensembl:antisense Gm14820 predicted gene 14820